ACUUGGGGGCAACUCCAAGUUCCGUGGCAGACGGGUGCGUAACACGUGAAGAACUUGUCCGGUGGCGGGGGAUAGCCGGCCCAACGGCCGGGUAAUACCGCAUACGAUCGCGCGGGGGCAUCCCUGCGCGAGGAAAGCAGCCGCAAGGUUGCGCCGACGGAGAGCUUCGCGGCCUAUCAGCUUGUUGGCGGGGUAAUGGCCCACCAAGGCUACGACGGGUAGCUGGUCUGAGAGGAUGAUCAGCCACAUUGGGACUGAGACACGGCCCAGACUCUUACGGGAGGCAGCAGUGGGGAAUAUUGCGCAAUGGCCGCAAGGCUGACGCAGCGACGCCGCGUGUGGGAUGACGGUCUUCGGA
rnacentral:rRNA from 1 species